rnacentral:rRNA from 1 species
UACGGAGGGUGCAAGCGUUAUCCGGAUUCACUGGGUUUAAAGGGUGCGUAGGUGGGCAGGUAAGUCAGUGGUGAAAUCUCUGGGCUUAACCCGGAACUGCCGUUGAUACUAUCUGUCUUGAAUAUAGUGGAGGUGAGCGGAAUAUGUCAUGUAGCGGUGAAAUGCUUAGAUAUGACAUAGAACAUCGAUUGCGAAGGCAGCUCGCUACACUAUGAUUGACACUGAGGCACGAAAAGCGUGGGGAUCAAACAGG